rnacentral:misc_RNA from 1 species
GAUGAAGAACGUAGCGAAAUGCGAUAAGUAGUGUGAAUUGCAGAAUUCAGUGAAUCAUCGAAUCUUUGAACGCACAUUGCGCCCUUUGGUAUUCCUUAGGGCAUGCCUGUUCGAGCUUCAUUUAAACCUUCAAGCUAAGCUUGGUGUUGGGUGACUGUCCGCUUCACGGCGGACUCGCCUCAAAAUUAUUGGCGGCCGGUACAUUGGCUUCGAGCGCAGCAGAAACGCGAACUCGGGCCCGUCGUAUUGGCUCCCUGAAGCUAUCUUCACAAUUUUGACCUCGGAUCAGGUAGGGAUACCCGCUGAACUUAAGCAUAUCAAUAAGCGGAGA